rnacentral:rRNA from 1 species
UACGUAGGGGGCGAGCGUUGUCCGGAAUCAUUGGGCGUAAAGAGCGUGUAGGCGGCCUGGUAGGUCAGCUGUGAAAACUCGAGGCUCAACCUCGAGACGCCGGUUGAAACCAUCAGGCUAGAGUCCGGAAGAGGAGAGUGGAAUUCCCGGUGUAGCGGUGAAAUGCGCAGAUAUCGGGGAAGAACACCCGUGGCUAAGGCGGCUCUCUAGUACGGUACUGACGCUGAGACGCGAAAGCGUGGGGAGCGAACAGG